UUUGGGUCUACAUUGCUCUUCAUCAGGCAAAAGAGAAUUCAAAGAUUGUAAAAUUUCUCCCAGGUAGAAAAGAAAAUUCAUCCUGCACAGGAGAACUCAGAGAUGGCAGGGUUCCCCUGGAUGAAAAGGCCAGUUUGUAAAAAAGCUGCUCUGCAUCGUGGUGGAGAUGAGUUUUCGGGACUACACUACAGUGAGACUUUGGGGAUUUACAGCCAACUUCCCCCAUGCAUAAGGGCUGGUGGGAGAAAAGAUGAAGGUACUUCUAAUGAUUUAAGAAGAAAGGCAGGAUGAAGGAAGGAAGCAAGUCAUGGUAAACAACUCAGUGGAUAAAAAUACAUUUUUUUUUUAAUUA